rnacentral:rRNA from 1 species
AGCGAACGCUGGCGGCAGGCUUAACACAUGCAAGUCGAGCGGGCGUAGCAAUACGUCAGCGGCAGACGGGUGAGUAACGCGUGGGAACGUACCUUUUGGUUCGGAACAACACAGGGAAACUUGUGCUAAUACCGGAUAAGCCCUUACGGGGAAAGAUUUAUCGCCGAAAGAUCGGCCCGCGUCUGAUUAGCUAGUUGGUGGGGUAAUGGCUCACCAAGGCGACGAUCAGUAGCUGGUCUGAGAGGAUGAUCAGCCACAUUGGGACUGAGACACGGCCCAAACUCCUACGGGAGGCAGCAGUGGGGAAUAUUGGACAAUGGGCGCAAGCCUGAUCCAGCCAUGCCGCGUGAGUGAUGAAGGCCCUAGGGUUGUAAAGCUCUUUUGUGCGGGAAGAUAAUGACGGUACCGCAAGAAUAAGCCCCGGCUAACUUCGUGCCAGCAGCCGCGGUAAU